GAAUUGCGAAAAGUAAUGUGAAUUGCAGAAUUCCGUGAAUCAUCGAAUCUUUGAACGCACCUUGCGCUCCUUGGUAAUCCAGGGAGCAUGCCUGUUUGAGUAUCGUUAACACAACUCACCCCCACAAAGGGUGGAAUUGAGCGUACGGUGGUGCCGGGCAGUUUGCUCGUAACGCUGUCGCUUGAAAUGGUUCGUGUGCCGUGCUUGGUCGCCGGUGCCUUGACGUGUUUGGUUCUCCAUUGGAGAUUUUCACGCGUCGCUUCAAAGGUAUCCAAUGAUCCGGGCCACGUUAACGUAAGCAUGGUGUUUGGACCGUGGUCCUUACCACCAUUUUCUGAUCUCAAAUCAGGCAAGACUACCCGCUGAAUUUAA
rnacentral:misc_RNA from 1 species